CAACAUCCCAGUGGUUGCUGGGGUGAGCUUCCUCCUCCUCGCUGUCUUGCUCCUCGUGGCAGUUUACAUCUACGUAAAGAAGAGGAGAGGCAGAAACCAAGAUACCUCAAGGCCUGAAGCUCCCACACGAGAGAACACAAGACUUCCUAAACAGGGUGUUGUCAAUAAAGAGAUUGUCUAUGUAGACCUGAAGUAUCCCAGCGGCCUGCAAAGACCUAAGCAAAGGAAGACAGAGGAGCAUUCAGAAUACGCCACUGUCCGGGUAGCUUAAUCUGCGGCUGCAUGAGGAACACUUUCCUGCCUGGACUCAAAAACCACCGACCAGAGAUGAAACUCCAUCAAACCGACCCUACCACGCAAUUUAAAGAGUCUGGGUGUGCUGCAUGAAUUCUGGCUCAGAGAGGCUAUUUGAUCCAGCUGUUUUUGCAAGAAGUUUGAAAGGAAAGGCUGUUUCUUUUUUCAUUUGUGCAGGGAGACUAGAGGCCGGCAUCACUCUCCGGACAUUGCACAGCUCAGGGACACUGGAAAUGAAUUUA